GAUGAACGCUGGCGGCGUGCCUAAUACAUGCAAGUCGAGCGAACAGACGAGGAGCUUGCCCCUCUGACGUUAGCGGCGGACGGGUGAGUAACACGUGGAUAACCUACCUAUAAGACUGGGAUAACUUCGGGAAACCGGAGCUAAUACCGGAUAAUAUAUUGAACCGCAUGGUUCAAUAGUGAAAGACGGUUUUGCUGUCACUUAUAGAUGGAUCCGCGCCGCAUUAGCUAGUUGGUAAGGUAACGGCUUACCAAGGCAACGAUGCGUAGCCGACCUGAGAGGGUGAUCAGCCACACUGGAACUGAGACACGGUCCAGACUCCUACGGGAGGCAGCAGUAGGGAAUCUUCCGCAAUGGGCGAAAGCCUGACGGAGCAACGCCGCGUGUGUGAUGAAGGUCUUCGGAUCGUAAAACUCUGUUAUUGGGGAAGAACAAAUGUGUAAGUAACUAUGCACGUCUUGACGGUACCUAAUCAGAAAGCCACGGCUAACUACGUG
rnacentral:rRNA from 1 species